rnacentral:rRNA from 1 species
UACAGAGGUCUCAAGCGUUGUUCGGAUUCAUUGGGCGUAUAGGGUGCGUAGGCGGCGCGGUAAGUCGGGUGUGAAAUCUCGGGGCUUAACUCCGAAACUGCAUUCGAUACUGCCGUGCUUGAGGACUGGAGAGGAGACUGGAAUUUACGGUGUAGCGGUGAAAUGCGUAGAUAUCGUAAGGAAGACCAGUGGCGAAGGCGGGUCUCUGGACAGUUCCUGACGCUGAGGCACGAAGGCCAGGGGAGCAAACAGG